rnacentral:rRNA from 1 species
UACAACUUUCAGCAACGGAUCUCUUGGCUCUCGCAUCGAUGAAGAACGCAGCGAAAUGCGAUAAGUAAUGUGA